CAGCCGCCGCGGGAAUACAGAGGUCUCAAGCGUUGUUCGGAUCCAUUGGGCGUAAAGGGUGCGUAGGUGGCUUGGUAAGUUGAAGGUGAAAUCUCGGGGCUUAACUCCGAAACUGCCUUCAAUACUGCUGAGCUCGAGGAUUGUAGAGGAGAAUGGAAUUCACGGUGUAGCAGUGAAAUGCGUAGAUAUCGUGAGGAAGACCAGUGGCGAAGGCGAUUCUCUGGGCAAUUCCUGACACUGAGGCACGAAGGCCAGGGGAGCAAACGGGAUUAGAUACCCCUGUAGUCCCUGUCUCUUAUAC
rnacentral:rRNA from 1 species